ACAAAAAAAAAAAGAAAUUUUUUCCUCCUUUCUCUUCCUCGACUUUGUUCUGUCUUGCUCGUUUUUUUCUCUCUUGGUCUAGUCGGUGAUGGCGAAAUGAUUUCGCCGAAAUCGAACGAUUUUCCUUAUGCGCCGUCUGGGUUCUGAAAUUGGAAGAGAAGUCGCAAAGAAAGUCGUCAUUCUUCCUGUGCAUCAUAUCAACCGACGGUGGUCGGUAUCGGUGAACCUCAUCGGAAAUUUAGUGAUUCCAUAUUGGUGAGUUUGGUGAAACGAUGGUGUAAUAUGCUUCUCCGGGUUGUUCAGGUUGCUUCAUUUUAAUUGUCAAAACGUUUCUCCUUCAGAAUUUUGGAUAUAUGACUGGAAGUGAUGCUCUUCUAAAGGUGAAGUCCAACUCGCCACAAGCACUUUCUUCUGCAGUUAAGUGACAUUGGAUCAGUUGUAAGCAUGGUUGAUAGGAUAGCUGGUUCUUGAUCAGGAGCUAAAUUCACAAAAGAUGAAAGCUUUGCAGAUAGAAUGUGAGAAAGGAAACAAGAAUGAUUAGGCAGAAUAGUGAACAAUCUUUGCUGGUUUGGCACAUCUUAGAUCUAGAAGAUGAUAUAGCUGUUGUGAGAGCAAAUUAAGAUGUUACUAUGAUCUAAGAGAAUCUACAAGUCUCGGCGAGAUGUAGGUGGUGUCACAUUGACACUACUGAACUUGUUAAAUGUGUGUGCUCCCAUCUUCUUCUCUACUCUUUUUUUCUAAUCUCUCUAUGCUCUGUUUUUUUUGCUGCAACAAACAAAAAGCUUCUAUCAUGGUGUGUUUGUGUAAAAAGCUUCUAUCAUGGUGUGUUUGUGUUCAAAAAGCUUAAGCAAUUUAUAUCUUGGUGUGUAAUUUCCAUAAGAGUAUUAAUUUGUAAUUUAUUUUGAAUGUCAAAAGCUAAUAAAUUUUAUUAACGUCA